rnacentral:lncRNA from 10 species
UUGACAGUUUGGCUUCCCUGUUCUGGGUGGCAAAGCCUGUGGAGUACUCACCUACCUGCUGCAUGAAGGCAGCAUGGAGGGACUGUGGUGGAUUAUCUGCAAAGAUGGCCAAAAUUCUCUCAUCCCUGCAGGCACAUACAAGCCAGGUUUCCAGAAGUUCCCCAGUCAUUGAGCAUUUCUGAGGCUCUUGAUGCAUAUGCCAAGUAGUUAUGGAGAAAGACACAGCAGCUUACCUCUGCAGGCAUCAUUGUGUGAAAGGAAGACCCAGGCUCUCUCACCACCCUUGAACAGAAGCCUUUUGCUAAGGAGUUUGCAGUUCACCCGCAAACCUCAGCGAUCCAAGCUCCCCUGGAUGACCAUCACUCACCAAGAAAAGAGCAAUAACAGGACCUGUUUUGCUAAUCCAGGACUGUUCUCCAGCACUAACUCUAAAUAAUCCCUUCUGCUAGAGUCCACUUUCUGGAACCUGUUGCCUCCGUUUUCAACGUUUCCCAAACUUGGUCCGUUGUGUGAGCUGGCUGAUAAAAGUUCCAGGGAGAAGACAUCUUACUCUUAUUGGAUCAUGCACAGUGCCUGAAGCAUUCUGUUGCAUGUAGAAGUCAGUAAAUUGCAGAUGUAAGAUUCAAAACCAGACUUCACAUCUACCGACUUCAGUGACCCUGAAAUUUGUUCACAGAGAGCAUUUAACAUAACUGUCUUCAUCAUCUCCUUCUCUACAUUAAAAAUUAUGGAAAAGUUGCUAAAACUGCUGUGAGAUUCUGGCUAAGAAAGUUUCAUGAGAAGUUUUACAGAAAAAUGUGAACGGAAGACAGAACUAGAUAUAAAUUUGAAUGGUAAUCUAAAUAAA